GGUUAUAGCUCAGUUGGUAGAGUACUUGCCUUGCAUGCACAAGACCAUGGGUUUGAUCCCCAGCACCA
rnacentral:tRNA from 1 species